rnacentral:rRNA from 1 species
AUGGCACUGGUGCAGACAUAUGGGAAGCCUGACAUGUUUUUGACUAUGAUAUGCAAUUCUGGCUGGGAGGAGAUACUGAAUGAGCUGCUUCCUGGCCAAACACCCCAGGACCGACCAGAUCUUGUCACACGCUUGUUCAGGGCCAAGCUGUAUACCAUGAAAGAGAUGUUGUUCAAAAAGAACAUCCUUGGUGUUGUGGUAGCGCAUGUGUAUGUCGUCGAGUUCCAAAAGAGGAGCCUCCCCCAUGCACACUCCCUGUUGAUCAUGAAUUCAAAUUAUAAACUUGUCGUGCCAGAGCAGUAUGACCGCAUCAUAUCUGCAGAGCUCUCAGACAAGCAUAAGUAUCCAGAGCUCUAUGCCAUGGUCGUGAAGCAUAUGAUUCAUGGCCCAUGUGGCAAUCUUAAUCCCAAAAAUGUGUGCAUGCAAGACUUGAAGUGCAAGAUCAAGUACCCACAUACGUUCAACUAG